ensembl:lncRNA
GCUGCGUGCUACAGCGAGGCUAAGCUAGUGGGGGAAAAGUUUCAGUGCAUUCCGUUGAUGUAGACGGCGUGAAAACGGAAACAAGUAUGCUGGCUCACUGUGCUGCAUACAAUUGCACACUGCGUCGUACGACUGAGACAAGGAAACUUGGAAGGACUUUUCAUAGGUUUCCCAGAGACUAUGGGUUGAGGAGGAAGUGGAAGUUUGUCGGCUUAGACCUGGUGUCAUUCCAUCAGUGUUAAACUUCCCGGCUCAUCUUGGAAGAGUACGUGCCAGAAAGACCACGACCAAGCAGCCUUGAGAUCUUAGGCAGCGUCUCCCUGAGGUCCCUCUCUAUCUCCCCACACAUCCACCAACCACUGGAACACAUCUCCAAAGUUCUGCCGGGCCAGCUCAGCUUCCCCUCAGAAGAAGUGCAGCCACCUGCCAGAUGAAGGAGCCUUUUGAGAGGCAGCUGGCAUCGUGAUUGGACUGUACUUUGGUCUGUUCCAAUCCAGCUUCAGUUCCAGAGACGGCAGGCGGGACGAGUCAACGGAGGCCGGGUGGACGAAGGCAUGCAGCUGAGUACAAUCUAGAAAACAACAGAGGAGGAGAGCAGGGCCAGAACAAACAGAGUAGCAUCACCAAAGAACUACAGACUCUUCACAACCUGCUCAAACUCUUGGUACAGGACCUCACUACACGGGUCAAAGUUUCCUUCUCAUUUCUACUCUGAAGCUUACCUUCUCCUGCUCAAACUGCUGACAAAUGUUUCUGCUGCUCUAAAGUCUGGUCUCCAGAACUUCCUAAAAACUCUCAGACUCUUCUGCUGCAGGUUGCUUUGUAGAACUGUUCCAGAAAACCUCACUAAACCACAUGGAGGGGCCUCAAGAUAGUCGUCCAAAUGAAACCAUACAAAAACCAAACUAGCACAACCCAAACGCUAAAGUCUCCUGCAGCCUACCAGAGAACCUCUGAGAACAGAGAAUCAGGACAGGAACUCUUACCUUCUGGACAACCAACGUUGGUUCUCAAACAAGAAUACAGAAUGUGUCUGACCAAAAACCUCUGAAGACUCACUACAGCCAAGAUAAAGACACAACUCAGCUGCAGCAAAUCCACUAAUCACUGCACACAUUAGUACCAUGUGCUAACUGUGGCUAAAGAACCACAUUUACCAAGACAACUAUCCAGUACAAAGCCCUAAAACACACCAAGAAACACAUUAAAGACGAUUUUACUGCUGGAAGCUGCAAGCCAACGCCUAAAGAACAGAGUAAAGCAACGGAGCUAAACCCGGUUCACUGGUGAAGAGAAGCAGAGGAAAUGUUUGGCUGCAGCUAAAUAAAGCAGGAAGACACUGAGCUGCUCAGGUGUUCCUGAUAACACCAAGCUGCUCAGGUGUUCCUGAUAACACCAAGCAGCCACCUGGACAGCCAAUAGGAACACAGCUUACUGGAAGUCCAGAGGGCUGGGUUAGUGAAGGAAAUUUAAUUUAAAGUUGAAGCAGAAAGUUAAUAAAGUUGAAAACCACCUUCUGAU